UGGAGGGUUCAUUCACAAGGAUGAUCAACACUCAACUGCAAUUAUUGAAGACAGUGAUGAAGACGAACCUUGUGCCAACUUUGUGACGUAUAGACAGAAUUGCAACAAUUGGGUUGUUGUUGAUGUACCUAUUGUUAUACACCGUUCAAAGUAAUUUGUUUUAUUGUUAAAGAAAAAUCCUUCCCCUAUGCCUAAGGGAGACGUGAAACAUUGU
rnacentral:lncRNA from 1 species